AGCAGCAGUGAAUUUCGAUUAGUUGACGCCUGUGUUUGAUACUGGAAAGAUUUCCCCAAACUUCUCGCUGGAAACACUUGACUUCUGACUCGCUCCCAUCAUGAGGCUACUGCUUUGGCUAACAGUUCUGUCGAUCAUGAUUAUAUCCAUACUUAACAUUCCGAGUCGUUGCAGAAAAAUAAAAGAUAAAUUGGUGUGCCAAAAGUAUUUUACAUUGUGUUUAUUUCAUAUGAUUAAGGAGCUAAAACAGAGAAUUGUUUGCAUUUUUUAAUGGAUUGUAAUUGGCACGAAAAAUGCAUUCUUCAUGCUCUAAUCGUAGGUCGAAUUAAAGAAGCUAUGGCUGUCCGAUUCGUCAAGGUUUAUGCACGAUUAGGGAAAGGUUUUUUCAAGAUUUUGAGACUGCUGAAACUGUUUUUUCCAUCAUAAGAAUAAUUCCUUAUCCAAAUAUAAGUUCUUAUAGGUAUAAUAUGAGCAUACUGAAUCAAAUCUGAAGAACGGGAAAACGUAAUAUUUCAUGGCAAUUCAUUUCGCACUCCAUCCCAUAACUUCUGCUUUGGGGGUACGGUACCGGUACUAACCCCCUGCAUUGGAAGACCAUAUAUCCUCGUUGAAUUCCAUUCCACUUUUGCGGUUGUGCCCAUUUGAUGCCACACUCAUGACGCCGCUGAUGAUGAUGAUGAUGCCGCCGCCCAUUGGUCAGCGCGUUGCAAUUUCGCCGACCAAUUCCGUGGCUCUGGAUUGCGGCACCCAGCUCCUCCUGCGCCAAAAACUGGCUCGGAUACCCCCUCCCCACCACUGCAGAGCGUUUCGUUCUCCGGCCAUUUGUCGAAAGCAAUAUUUUCUGCAUGCAAACCAAAAAAUUUGCAUAUAAAUGCGAAAACGCAUUCAAACUAACAACGACCAAAAGGAGGAGCGAAUGCAGGACGCGGACGCGGAUGUGGAUGUAGACUGGGACUGGGACUGGAACUGCAAAUGGAGCUAUAGCUGCAGCUCCAGCAAACUGCUCCAGCUCCAGCUCCGG